GAAUAACUGCUUUUAUGGAUUUUUAUUUUGCUCCUGCCCAUCCAGCGCAGGGUACCGGCAGAGGAGAUGCUGGUCUGUGCCCGGUUUUCUUGAAGUUUUAGCCUGUAAAACCAGGGAUGUUUUUUAAUCACUCUCCGAGGAAAGUCCUUUAGAAUGCUCGGUCAGUGCUUGCUGGACUGUGGGGGUUCUCCCCUCGUGUUUUCAGCAGGGCGGUGUUGAGGAGCCUGCUUUAAACUUUGCUUUUGGCUUUACGUGAAACUAAUGCUAAGAAAUAACUCACCUCUUGGGCUGACUCAAGAGCAGUGGUUAUACAUACAGCUGACCAAGUUCCUGUUGUGAGGAGUACAGAAUGCGUCAGGUUGGACGGAACCACAGCGGGGUCACCUGGUCCGAUCUCCCUGCUCAGGCAGGGUCAUUCCAGAGCACAGGGCUGUGUCCAGACAGGUGAAGAAAACCUGCAAUGAAGGAAACUACACAGCCUCACCUGCACAGCAAAGAAGUUCUUCCUUAUGUUCAGACAGCUGAAGGCCUGUUGUAUGAACUGGUUAUAUAAAGAGAAAUCCAAACUUGUAUUAGAAAGGAAUGAUCCUCUGAGGGGAGAAAAAAGAGCUGCCUGCACAGAGCUGUGGAUGGAUUCUUCAGACACAGAGCAAGCAGUAAGUGGAACAGUUUCUACUGUACUUGUUUAAAUCACAGAGAGAAACGUUUCCUGAAGCUUUGCAUUGCUGAAGUUUGGGUCUGCCUUUGAAGUUUUCCUCAAUAGUGAUACAUUCCCUGCCAGGUUACAUGAUAAAGAUUAUCCUUUUCUGAGGCUCUCUCGAGGGAAGAAAAGCUUCUUCAUACAGGUUCCCAUGCCGUCAGAGUGGCACUGCUGAAACAGAAGUGUUGCCUACUGCUGAAUUCUCCACUGGCAUCACACUGAAGCAUCAAGUUUGUCCAUCUCAGGGGAGAGUUGUAGUUUAAGUUCUUGUUUCUGAGCUCCAGCAAAUAAAUGUUAAAGCUUUAAAGAAAACAAACAAACAAAUACAGCCAAACUGCUGAAUAUUCAGCGCUAAGUCCCUGGUACCUGAUGGAACUGUGGCUCCCCUCCUUGUUCAUGUGUAUGUACACAGAGUGAACUCUACACAGUUGCCCAAUUAGCUCUGCUCAAAUAGUCACAGCAAUAAAUUCAGCUUGGGGACUUCUAAUCCAAGUGCCUCCCUUCAUAGCAAAAAAAUUGGGGUAAUGGUGUGACUCUUUUAGAAGUGGCAAUAAUAGAAACUGGCUAUUAGGUUACAGUAACCUCUUUAUACCCAACAUCAAAAGCACAUUUACUUUUCCCUCCAGAUGCUUCUUCCACAAAGGUUUUCCUGUUUCUUUGCCUUAACACUUCAACUUUUACUGGAGCACUGCACUGGGACGCGUAGCUUAAUUUGUUGCAGUGCUAAAUGAGCAAAAACAUGAUAGAUAGGAACAGCCCUUGCCCUAAAAAAAGCGCCAAAAUAUGUAUUGGCUUAUAGCCAAGUAAUCCAACUUUUGAAGGAGUUACACCAACACAAGGAAGGUUGUAGCAGUUCUGUGUAAAGUUUAUUUUAAAAAUUAAAUUAGGAAAAAAACCCCCAAACAACUCAUGGGCCAAAUUCUGUACUUAUUUAGGAAGGAGUGAUAAUAUUCAGUUGACAGAAUUAAGGGUUCUGCAAGUACAAAGGACGUUUAUGGAAAGUUAUUAUUUCUUGUCAAC
rnacentral:lncRNA from 13 species